UACGUAGGGGGCAAGCGUUGUCCGGAAUCAUUGGGCGUAAAGAGCGCGUAGGUGGCGACGUAAGUCGGGUGUGAAAGCCCCGGGCUCAACCUGGGAAUUGCAUUCGAGACUGUGUUGCUGGAGUACGGAAGAGGAGGGCGGAAUUCCCGGUGUAGCGGUGAAAUGCGUAGAUAUCGAGAGGAACACCUGCGGCGAAGGCGGGUUGCUGGGCUGACACUGACGCUGACAGCGCGAAAGCGUGGGGAGCAAACAGG
rnacentral:rRNA from 1 species